GGGUGCGAUCAUACCAGCACUAACGCACCGGAUCCCAUCAGAACUCCGCAGUGAAGCGUGCUUGGGCGAGAGUAGUACUAGGAUGGGUGACCUCCUGUGAAGUCCUCGUGUUGCACCCC
rnacentral:rRNA from 1 species